rnacentral:misc_RNA from 1 species
AACCUUAUGGACCUGCGGGCGUAUACCUGCGGAAGGAUCAUUAUCAAAACAGCGGCCUUCGGGCCUUGCUGCACCCUUGUCUUUUGCGCACCGUAUUGUUUCCUCGGCGGGCUUGCCUGCCGGUUGGACAUUAUCAAACCUUUUUGUAGUUGCAAUCAGCGUCAGAAAAACAAUAAUUAUUACAACUUUCAGCAAUGGAUCU